rnacentral:rRNA from 1 species
GCAUCAGGUAGUAGAAAUAUGAGAGUUCGAUCAUGGCUCAGAUUGAACGCUGGCGGGAUGCUUUACACAUGCAAGUCGAACGGCAGCACGGACUUCGGUCUGGUGGCGAGAGUGGCGAACGGGUGAGUAAUGUAUCGGAACGUGCCUAGUAGCGUGGAUAACUACGCGAAAGCGUAGCAAUACCGCGCAUACGCCCUUCGGGGGAAAGCGGGGGACCUUCGGGCCUCGCACUGUUAGAGCGGCCGAUAUCGGAUUAGCGGUUGGUGGGGUAACGGCUCACCAAGGCGACGAUCCGUAGCUGGUUUGAGAGGACGACCAGCCACACUGGGACUGGAGAUACGCCCAGACUCCUACGGAGGCAGCAGUGGGGAAUUCUUGGACAAUGGGGGAAACCCCUGAUCCAGCCAUCCCGCGUGUGCGAUGAAGGCCUCGGGCUUGUAAAGCACUUUGGCAGGAGAGGUUGAAACGGCACGGAUAAUACCCCGUGCAACUAACGGUACCUGCAGAAUAAGCACCGGCUAACUACGUGCCAGCAGCCGCGGUAAUACGUAGGGUGCAAGCGUUAAUCGGAAUUACUGGGCGUAAAGCGUGCGCAGGCGGUUCGGAAAGAAAGAUGUGAAACCCAGAGCUAACUUUGGAACUGCAUUUUUGGCCACCGAGCUAGAGUGUGUCAGAGGGAGGGAAUUCCGCGUGUAGCGAGUGAAAUGCGUAGAUAUGCGGAGGAACACCGAUGGCGAAGGCAGCCUCCUGGGGAUAACAUCGAUGCUCAUGCACGAAAGCGUAGGGCAACAGAUACCUCAGUCCACGCCUUAAACGAUGUCAACUAGCUGUUGGGCCUUUCGCCUUGGUAGCGCAGCUGACGCGUGAAGUUGACCGCCUGGGGAGUACGGUCGCAAGAUUAAACUCAAAGGAAUUGACGGGGACCCGCACAAGCGGUGGAUGAUGGAUUAAUCUGAUGCAACGCGAAAACCCUACCUACCCUUGACAUGUCUAACCUGAAGAGAUUUGGGAGUGCUCGCAAGAGAACCGGAAAUUAUAGGUAUGUAUGGCUGUCGUCAGCUCGUGUCGAGAUAAGCAAGUCCCAACGAGCGCAACCCUUGUCAUUAGUUGCUGCUGAAAGGGCACUCUAAUGAGACUGCUGUGACAAACUGGAGGAAGGUGGGGAUGACGUCAGCCCCAUGGCUUUAUGGCAGGGUUCACACGUCACAGCAAUGGUCGUGGACAGGGUCGCCAACCCGCGAGGGGGAGCCAAUCCUGCGAAACCCGAUCGUAACGUCCGAUCGCAGUCUGCAACUCAGACUCAGGAGUCGAAUCAUAGUACCCGUGGAUCAGCAGUCGCGGUGAAGAUGCCCGGGUCUGUACACACCGCCGUCACACCAUGGGAGUGGUUUUACUAGAAGAGUAGUCAACUGCAAGGAGGAAGCAUUUAC